GUCUCAGUAGCGUAGUGGUUAACGCAGGCCCCUAUUAGGCGCGCGACGCUGGUUCAAAUCCCGCUCGAGAUG
rnacentral:tRNA from 1 species